rnacentral:rRNA from 1 species
CAAUAAAGCACACCCUUUAGACGCCACCACAAGACGGGUUGCUCGAAGGAAGCCAAGCAGGGUUGAGCCUGGUUAGUAUCUGGAUGGGAGAUCACACUGAAAACAAGGUUGCUGUUGA